CUGACAUUCGUGAAUGCAUGCUGCAUAUACACACACUGUGUACAACAAAUGCAACAUGACAUGCGUGACAUCCCCACUAAAAUCGUGAGCGAAAAUCGUCUGAAAUUCAUGUAGAAUAGGUUGAGAUGGAACAGCCCAA